UGAGGAAUAUUGGUCAAUGGACGCAAGUCUGAACCAGCCAAGUAGCGUGCAGGAUGACGGCCCUAUGGGUUGUAAACUGCUUUUAUAUGGGGAUAAAGUGGGGAACGUGUUCCCUUUUGCAGGUACCAUAUGAAUAAGGACCGGCUAAUUCCGUGCCAGCAGCCGCGGUAAUACGGAAGGUUCGGGCGUUAUCCGGAUUUAUUGGGUUUAAAGGGAGCGUAGGCCGUUUGGUAAGCGUGUUGUGGAAUGUAGGAGCUCAACUUCUAGAUUGCAGCGCGAAAUGUCAGACUUGAGUGCGCACAACGUAGGCGGAAUUCAUGGUGUAGCGGUGAAAUGCUUAGAUAUCAUGAAGAACUCCGAUUGCGAAGGCAGCUUACGGGAGCGCAACUGACGCUGAAGCUCGAAGGUGCGGGUAUCGAACAGG
rnacentral:rRNA from 1 species